UACGGGGGGGGCAAGCGUUGUUCGGAAUUACUGGGCGUAAAGGGCUCGUAGGCGGCCAACUAAGUCAGACGUGAAAUCCCUCGGCUUAACCGGGGAACUGCGUCUGAUACUGGAUGGCUUGAGAUUGGGAGAGGGAUGCGGAAUUCCAGGUGUAGCGGUGAAAUGCGUAGAUAUCUGGAGGAACAUCGAAGGAUAAGGCGACAACCGAGAUCUACACUGACGCUGAGGAGCGAAAGCCAGGGGAGCAAACGGG
rnacentral:rRNA from 1 species